CAGAGACCUCAAGCGUUAUCCGGAAUCAUUGGGCGUAAAGCGUACCGAUAGGUGGUUUAUUAAGUCUUGGGUAAAAGCCGGAAGCUCAACUUCCGCGUUUGCUUAAGAUACUAAUAGACUAGAGGGGCAAAGAGGUGCUUGGAACCAACGGUGUAGUAGUGAAAUGCGUUGAUAUCGUUGGGAACACCGAAAGCGAAGGCAGAGCACUGGGUGCCACCUGACACUGCUAGGACGAAAGCGUGGGGAGCGAAUGGGAUUAGAUACCCCAGUAGUCCACGCUGUAAACGAUGAAUGCUAGGCAUACGCGAGUAUCGACCCUCGUAUGUGCCGCAGCUAACGCGAUAAGCAUUCCGCCUGGGGAGUACGGUCGCAAGACUA
rnacentral:rRNA from 1 species